CCUACGGGUGGCAGCAGUGGGGAAUAUUGCACAAUGGGGGAAACCCUGAUGCAGCGACGCCGCGUGAAGGAAGAAGUAUUUCGGUAUGUAAACUUCUAUCAGAGGGGAAGAAAAUGACGGUACCUGACUAAGAAGCCCCGGCUAACUACGUGCCUGCAGCCGCGGUAAUACGUAGGGGGCAAGCGUUAUCGGGAUUUACUGGGUGUAAAGGGAGCGUAGGCGGUUUAGCAAGUCAGAAGUGAAAGCCCGGGGCUCAACUCCGGGACUGCUUUUGAAGCUGUUGAACUAGAGUGCAGGAGAGGUAAGUGGAAUUCCUAGUGUAGCGGUGAAAUGCGUAGAUAUUAGGAGGAACACCAGUGGCGAAGGCGGCUUACUGGACUGUAAAUGACGCUGAGGCUCGAAAGCGUGGGGAGCAAACAGGAUUAGAUACCCUGGUAGUC
rnacentral:rRNA from 1 species